rnacentral:rRNA from 1 species
UACGAAGGGGGCUAGCGUUGUUCGGAAUCACUGGGCGUAAAGCGCACGUAGGCGGAUUGUUAAGUCGGGGGUGAAAUCCUGAGGCUCAACCUCAGAACUGCCUUUGAUACAGCACAUCUGGAGUCCGGAAGAGGUGGGUGGAAUUCCUAGUGUAGAGGUGAAAUUCGUAGAUAUUAGGAAGAACACCGGUGGCGAAGGCGGCCCACUGGUCCGGUACUGACGCUGAGGUGCGAAAGCGUGGGGAGCAAACAGG